rnacentral:rRNA from 1 species
AUGUGUAUACCAAAGAGGAAGGGAGGAAUGGGAUUUUGAGACCUUCACAAUUUUAAUCUUGCUAUGUUAACAAAGUAGUGUUGGCGACUUCUCCAGAAUCCUGAUUCUUUUUGUGCUUGAGUUCUAAGUGCAAAGUAUUAUCCAAAUGGUGAUAUUUUAAAAGCUGGACCGGAGAAAGGGUCCUCAUUUGCUUGGCAAAGUAUAGUUGCUGGAAUUCAGACUUUUAAAAGAGGUUGUAUAUGGCGAGUUGGUUUAGGAUUGCAAAUUUUUUUUGGGAAGAUCCAUGGAUCCCAUCUAGCGAGGGGAUUCAUUACACCAAGAGGAGGAACUAUGUUAACAUUGGUACAGGAUUUGAUUGACCCUCAUACAGGUCAAUGGGAUGAUCUCAUUCGUUCUAUCUUCUCGCCAGUGGAUGUCACCAGAAUUGUGCGGAUUCCCCUUCAGACUGAGGUUGUGAAAGAUUUUGUUGCAUGGCAAUAUACAAGAUCGGGAACUUUCUCGGUCCGACUGGCGGAUCAUGCGGAGUUCAAUCACGAAUUUGGGCGCCAAAUGGACAGAUCGGAUGGCCAAGGCAGUGUGCACAUAAAUCCGAUCUGGAAGGAAUUGUGGCAACUUCGUAUCCUAGGGAAAGUAAAACAUUUUGGAUGGAAGGUACUAAAGGGUGUAUUACUAUGCCUACUAGGUAUCCUGGCUGGACGACACAUCCCGGUUCUUCCACAAUGCCCGAUAUGCAAAGUUGGGUUUGAUGAUAUACAACAUCUCCUCUUUAAUUGUUGAAGAGCGAAGGAGGUAUGGACCAAACUUGGCUUACAUGAUGUUGUCCAACGUGCACUAGUUCAAGACAGAUUUGAUUCAGUUACUCUAGAAAUUUUGUCGAAACCCCGCGAGAUGGUUGAUGAACUUCCAAAAGAAGAGCUAAUCUUGGUGGUUAUGUGGUAUAUAUGGUGUCAAAGGCGUCAAAUUGGAAAAGGAGAAACCUUCCAGGAGCCUAGUCGCUCGGCUGCCUCAAUCCUGGUUCUGGCAACGAUUUUUUUUAGAGCUGCAACACCAAAGCAACCUACCAGGAAAGAAAUUCAUACUUGGCGGGAACUGUUUGAUGGCAAUGUUAAGAUAAAUGUUGAUGCAUCUUUUCACCUUGAAACUCUUUUUGGAGCUAGUGGCGCGGGGGCGAGAGACCACAAGGGGAAUUUCAUAGCUGUGGCGACUUGA